AUUGAACGCUGGCGGCAUGCUUUACACAUGCAAGUCGAGCGGUAACAGGCCUUCGGGUGCUGACGAGUGGCGAACGGGUGAGUAAUGCAUCGGAACGUACCCAGAGGUGGGGGAUAACGCAGCGAAAGCUGUGCUAAUACCGCAUGUGAUCUGAGGAUGAAAGCGGGGGACCGAGCAGCAAUGUUUGGCCUCGCGCCUUUGGAGCGGCCGAUGUCGGAUUAGCUAGUUGGUGGGGUAAAGGCCUACCAAGGCGACGAUCCGUAGCUGGUCUGAGAGGACGACCAGCCACACUGGGACUGAGACACGGCCCAGACUCCUACGGGAGGCAGCAGUGGGGAAUUUUGGACAAUGGGCGCAAGCCUGAUCCAGCAAUGCCGCGUGCGGGAAGAAGGCCGUCGGGUUGUACCGCUUUUGGCAGGAACGAAACGGUGUCCGCUAAUACCGGGCGCUAAUGACGGUACCUGCAGAAUAAGCACCGGCUAACUACGUG
rnacentral:rRNA from 1 species